GUCGUGGUUCUAUACUCAGUGAUGCCGUUGGAGUUGAUGGACUCACUUAUCUUCCAAGCCUUCCGCUGAUAUCGUUAUUAGAUGGCCUUAAGCCAUAUUUAUUGUAAUAAGUUCUCUUAUGAGACACUCGAUGUAAUAAGUGUGUGAUUGCUACUCUACUAUAAAUCCUCCGAGUACUAUGUGGUGUCAGCAUUACUGAUCCAGGGAUGACACCGAAGCAUAGAGAUCAGACUGUUUGAGGUCUGGUCGCUACAGAGAUGGUAUCAGAGCACACACUGACUGUAGGACACGACCACUAAUCUAAAAGACCUAGAUCACUUUUCACUCUUUUCUCUUAUGACUUCUCAUCUUCUCUACUCUUUAGGAUGGCGGAUGCAAGGUAUAAGUUCACGCAACCGGAUGAAGAUACACCCUUUGGACGUCACUUGAAGGAAGUCACUAGAUACUUGAAUAUAGGAGUACCAAGCUUCACCGGAACCUACAACGCCACUUUACCUGAAGAAGAGCGCUGGAUGAUUCAAGUUCAAGUUCCAGGAAGGACGUUCAUGCCAGUCACUGAGCCCAUAGAGUUUUCUUUUGAUGCACCAACUUGGAGUCUAGGAAAGAGCAUGGCAGCUCACAUCGCCAUGGGACGCAUUGGAGAAGUCUACCGCAAGGAUCUCAAGGAUACUAUCUACCAGAUUUGUGGGUGCCGAGAUGAACACUGGGAGAUGAUCAGCACCAGGAAGGAUGGAUCAAUCGCAGCUUUUAUCCAGGAGUUAAACCAGCACAUUCGACGACAGGAGAACCAGAUGUGCGCUGACAUGAUAGAUCUGAAGAAGGCAAGGACAAGAAUCAAGGAACUGGAGGAAGAAUUCAAGGCUACACGUGAAGAUUAUGAAGAGGAAAUUGAAGUAUUGGUGGAGAAGAAUGAUGACCUGAUCAAGAAGAUUGGAAUAUUUAUGGGAGGCCCUACGCCAGUAGAUGAAGACGAAGAACCCAAGGAGAUUAGCCCAGAAGACCACAUCAUCAUCGACGGCACCGACUCAGAUCCAGAUAGUAGCGAUGAUGACUAUGUUGAUGAAGCUGGAGCAGAUAUCAUGGAGUCUGCCACCGAAGAAUAUUUAUAGUAGACCCCCUCAUCAGUAGUAGUAGUCCACCAUGUAAGUAUAGUAGUCCGAGCACUUUUGCAAUAGAUAGAUCGAUUGUAUGCCCUUAUUUGAUUGAAUGAAGUGAAUUGUUUGCUUUUGCCUCAUGUGCAUAUGGGUAGUGUUUUCUCUUUAGACCCCCUCUAUUCUUACAUCUCAUCUUUUCUAAACCCCUCAGAUGCCUCCGAGAUGUGACCCCGGAUUUGCCUUUCCACCGGAGCUCACCCAGUUGAUCCAGCAGCAGAACACAUUGAUGCAGUUGCUAGUCCAGAAUCAGAAUCAGGGGAACAACAACAACAACCCACCACCACAUGUUGACCACUUAGCCCGUUUUCUUAGGCUAAAUCCACCGGUGUUUUCCAGUAGCACCGAGCCGAUAGUAGCAGAUGAUUGGCUCCGCAAGACAGCUAGAGAAUUGACCACAGCAGGAUGCACAGAUGCGGAGAAGGUGAAGUUUGCCGCACAUCAUCUAGAAGGACCCGCAGCAUCAUGGUGGGAGAAUUUCACAGCCACUUUCCCUGUCGACACUGUCACAUGGGACCAGCUUCAGCAGGCUUUUCGUACUACACAUGUUUCAGCAGGAGCUAUGGCCAUGAAGAAGCGUGAGUUACGCAACUUGCGCCAAGGAGGACGAACAGUUGGCCAGUAUCUGGAGGACUUUAGUAAGUUAGCACGUUAUGCCCCGGAUGACGUCGCUACGGAUGCAUCUAAGGAGGAGAAGUUUCUAGAAGGACUGAAUGAUGAGUUGAGCAUGCAGUUGAUGGUAGCAACCUUCAACAACUACCAGGAGUUGGUAGAUCAUGCUCUUAUGAUUGAAGGGAAGCAGCAGCAAAUUGAGAAUCGCAAGAGGAAGUAUGGACAAGGAAAGUACAAUUCAGGAGCUCAGCAGAAGCCACAUUUUACCCCUAGACCGGGAGGACAUUUUCAGCAUACCCAUGGAGGAGUUAGCUCGCACAAUCACAAUGGCACCAAGAAUGGUAAUGGCAAUGGAGGAAGCAACGGCCAGAAUCGCACCAACCCAUCAACCCCAGCCAAGAAGGACCAGAGCCAAGUCACUUGCUUUAAGUGUCAGAAGACCGGACACUAUGCCAAUGAAUGUCCUGAAGGCCAAAGUGGCAAUGGAAGUUAUGGGAAGAAGCCGAACCCUUUCAACAGGGGAUAGGUGAACUACGUUAGCGUGGAGGAUGUUGAAGGUCAGCCUGAUGCAGUAAUAGGUAAGUUUUUGGUUAAGUCAUUUACUGCACUCGUUCUUUUUGACACUUGUGCAUCGCAUUCAUACAUCUCAAGGGGAUUUGUGGAUAAGUAUAACCUAUCAACCCAAGCCCUUAGGUCACCCAUGUUAGUAACCUCGCCUGGAGCAGAGUAUAUGGCUAGUCUAUGGUGUGAUCGGUUACCAUUAAGGAUUGGUAACUAUGUUUUUCCCUCAGACCUAAUAGUAUUGGAAUCCCAAGGAUUGGAUGUGAUAUUAGGCAUCGAUAGGUUAUCAAAGUAUGAAGGGAAUAUUGAAUGUGCUAGUAAGUCAAUUUUGCUUACCACCCCAGAAGGAAGAAGGAUCAAGUAUGUAUCCCGGCUUGUGCCAAAGAGGACUCAAGUAAAUUGCCUAACAGGAGUUGUGCAGGAGGAAGUACCAGUGGUAAGGGAUUUCCCUGAAGUAUUUCCGGAGGAGUUGCCAGGCAUGCCACCCGAUAGAGAUAUUGAGUUUUUAAUUGAGCUAUUGCCAGGCACAGGGCCAAUAUCAAAGAGACCAUAUAGGAUGCCAGCAAAGGAUUUGGUGGAAAUUAAGAAGCAGAUUAAGGAUUUACUGGAUAAGGGAUAUGUCCGCCCAAGUUCUUUGCCUUGGGGAUCGCCAGUACUUCUAGUGGAGAAGAAGGAUGGAUCGUUAAGGGUUGUUGAUUAUCGAGGAUUGAAUGAAGUAACAAUCAAGAACAAGUACCCACUACCAAUGAUUAAUGAUCUGUUUGAUCGAUUGCAAGGAGCUAAGGUAUUUUCCAAGAUCAAUCUGCUAUCAGGAUACCACCAGUUGAAGAUUCGAGAACAGGAUAUACCUAAGACAGCUUUUACCACCAGGUAUGGGCUGUACGAGUAUACUGUUAUGUCAUUUGGUCUGACUAACACACCCGCAUAUUUUAUGAACAUGAUGAACAAAGUAUUUAUGGAAUUUUUGGAUAAGUUCAUCGUAGUGUUCAUUGAUGAUAUCCUGGUUUAUUCGAAGAAUGAAGAGGAGCAUAAGGAGCAUUUGCGUUUGGUACAUGGAAAGCUCAGAGAACAUCAAUUAUAUGCCAAGUUCAGCAAAUGUGAGUUUUGGUUGAAGGAAGUAGGAUUCCUCGGACACGUUAUAUCUGGAGAAGGUAUAGCAGUUGAUCCCACUAAAGUUGAUACCGUGACCAAGUGGGAAGCACCAACCACCGUGGGAGAGAUCCGGAGUUUUCUUGGACUCACAGGAUACUACCGGAGAUUUAUUGAGAAUUUCUCAAAGAUUGCGAAGCCUAUGACUGAGUUGUUGAAGAAAGAUACCAAGUUCAUAUGGACGGAGGAAUGUGAGGCUAGUUUCCAGGAGUUGAAGAAACGUUUGAUUACCUCACCAGUGUUGAUUUUGCCAGACCAGACCAAAGAUUAUGAGGUGUAUUGCGACGCUUCACGUCGAGGACUUGGAGCAGUGCUUAUGCAGGAAGGGAGAGUUGUUUCAUAUGCCUCAAGACAACUGAAACCUCAUGAGUUGAAUUAUGCCACGCAUGAUUUGGAGUUAGCAGCCGUAGUGCGUGCUUUGAAAACAUGGAGGCAUUUCCUCAUUGGAAAUCAUUGUGAGGUGUACACGGAUCAUAAGAGUUUGAAGUACAUUUUCACACAGAAGGAGUUGAAUCUCAGACAAAGGAGAUGGUUGGAGCUCAUCAAGGAUUAUGAUAUGAGAUUGCAUUAUCACCCCGGAAAAGCUAAUGUAGUAGCUGACGCAUUAAGCCGUAAGAGCCAUGUCAAUACAUUAAUGACGGGAGAAAUACCCAAGGAGUUAGCAGUAAAUCUUCGUGAACUAUGUUUGGAAAUAGUUCCGAGAGGCUAUGUAGCAGCAUUAGAGAUUCAGUCAACCUUGAUGGAUAGAAUCAGGGAAGCUCAGAAGACCGACAAAGAGAUUUCCGCCAUAAAGGAGAAACUUAGCAAAGGAAAAGCUAAGGGAUUUCAUGAGGAUGAACACGAUACCCUAUGGUUUGAAGACCGCGUUUACGUGACCAAUGACCCGGAGAUCAGGAAGUUGAUAUUGCAAGAGGCACACGAUUCACCAUAUUCGAUUCACCCAGGAAAUACCAAGAUGUAUUUGGAUUUGAAAGAUAUUUUCUGGUGGACCGGACUGAAGAAGGAUAUUGGGGAAUAUGUAGCAAUUUGUGAUGUAUGUCAAAGAGUAAAGUCAGAGCAUCAGAAGCCAGCAGGAUUGUUACAACCAUUGCCGAUACCCGAAUGGAAGUGGGAUAAGCUAGGCAUGGAUUUUAUCACGGGAUUGCCCAGGACUCGUUCAGGCGAUGACUCGAUUUGGGUUGUAGUCGAUCGGUUGACGAAAGUAGCUCAUUUCAUCCUGGUAAAGACCACUUACAACAAUGCUAAGUUGGCAAAGAUAUACAUGACCAUGAUCGUAUGUUUGCAUGGAGUUCCGAGGAGUAUCGUAUCAGAUAGAGGAACCCAGUUUACCUCAAAGUUCUGGAAGCAGUUGCAUGAGACAUUGGGAAUCAGGCUAGAAUUCAGUAUAGCUUUUCAUCCAUAGACAGAUGGACAGACCAAGAGAGUUAAUCAGAUUUUGGAGGAUAUGCUGAGAGCUUGUGCGCUAGAUUACGGAUCUAGUUGGGACGAUAAUUUGCCAUAUGCAGAGUUCUCUUACAAGAAUAGUUACCAAGCUAGUUUGAAGAUGGCCCCUUUCGAAGCUUUGUACGGAAGGAGGUGCAGGACACCGUUGUCGUGGGAUGAAGUUGGAGACCGCCAGUUGUUUGGACCUGACUUGAUUAAGGAUUCUGAACAGAAGGUGAAAUUGAUUCGCGAUAGGCUCAAGGUAGCCCUGUCCAGGCAGAAAAGUUAUGCAGAUUCUAAACGCAAGUAGACAGUUUACGAAGUGGGAGAUAGAGCUUAUCUUCGAGUAUCUCCACUUCGGGGAACAAAGCGUUUUGGAGUUAAAGGGAAGUUAGCGCCACGAUUUGUAGGACCAUAUCGAGUUUUGGAGCGUAUGGGAGAAGUGGCCUACAAGUUGGAAUUGCCCGAAGGAUUGUCAAGAGUUCAUGAUGUGUUCCACGUUUCCCAGUUGAAGAAGUGUCACACGGAGAUGGCUGACAUACCUUUGAGAGACACAGUGCCAUUGGAAACUAUUCAGUUGGAUAACGAUUUGACCUAUGAGGAGAAACCAAUUAAGAUCCUCGAGUUUGCCAGCCGAGUUACCCGCAACAAGGUUAUCAAGUUUUGCAAAGUUCAGUGGAGCCACCACACGGAGGAUGAAGCCACCUGGGAACAAGAGGAAGAUUUGCUCAAGGACCACCCUCACCUAUUUUCUAGCCAACCCGAAUCUCGAGGGCGAGAUUCAUCUUAAGGGGGGUAGGUUUGUAACAUCCCAAAUUUUCAAUUUGGAAUGUUAUACAUUAGAUCAUGUAUGCAUAUCAUAUUUUAUUCUGCAUUUUGGUUGAUCCUAGAAAUCCUAAGCAACUCAAGGACCCACAGAGAGAGUUGGGGGUUUCGUUAUUUUCAUAUUUGAGUUUUCUCAAAUUUUGAGAAUAGGAUCAUUUGAUUUUAUUUAUUUUAUCACCAAUUAUUUCUAUUACAAAAAUAUGAGAGACGGAAUAAAAUGACUUUCCCAAAAUAAAGAAAUAUUGAGGAUCAAAUAAUAAAAUCAAAUAAGAUUUUAUUUCAGAGUUUUUCGGUGUUUUAUUUGAAUUUAGGAAAAAUGUGCGUUUUUCAAAAUUGCUUUUAGGUCCCAAAUAAAUGUUCACCUUGUGCGGCUUGAUUUUAGAAGCCCGUGAAAACUUAUUUUGGAAUUUUUGGAGUCCGUUUAGUAUUUCUUUUUAUUUUUCUUCUGCGCAUAAUAAAAAAACGAACCGACCUACGGGCCGUGUCCGACUAGGACUUCGGCCCGCCAGGGCUUUAUAAGCCGGGGCAGCCCACCCGAGGCAAACCCUAGCCCACCGCCGCCCCAGCCCCGCACCCGCGCGCUGCCGCUGCCCGCCGCCGCCGCCGUCNNNNNNNNNNNNNNNNNNNNNNNNNNNNNNNNNNNNNNNNNNNNNNNNNNNNNNNNNNNNNNNNNNNNNNNNNNNNNNNNNNNNNNNNNNNNNNNNNNNNNNNNNNNNNNNNNNNNNNNNNNNNNNNNNNNNNNNNNNNNNNNNNNNNNNNNNNNNNNNNNNNNNNNNNNNNNNNNNNNNNNNNNNNNNNNNNNNNNNNNNNNNNNNNNNNNNNNNNNNNNNNNNNNNNNNNNNNNNNNNNNNNNNNNNNNNNNNNNNNNNNNNNNNNNNNNNNNNNNNNNNNNNNNNNNNNNNNNNNNNNNNNNNNNNNNNNNNNNNNNNNNNNNNNNNNNNNNNNNNNNNNNNNNNNNNNNNNNNNNNNNNNNNNNNNNNNNNNNNNNNGUUUUUCCGUUGGUUUUUCCGCCGUUUUUUUUCUAGUUUCGUUUUUUUUAAAUAGACCGGUUUUUCUGGUUUAUUUAAUUUAGCGAGCGUUCGUCGUUUUUCUUUUUCUCGGAUUAAAUCCGCGAUUUUUCUGAUCGCGAUUCCUGAUCCGAUUUUCGUUUUAGUAUAACUUUUCGCUCAUUUAUCGGAAUCAGGCGAUUCAAGCGCCUGGAGUUUCGCCUCGAAACCCUCUAUCUGUUUAACCAACUUAAACAAGAUUUUGCUACUAUAAAAUUUUCCCUAGAUCCAGAUUAGUAGAACGAAGUUGUUUUCUUUCGUCGUUUGACUUUCGUUGCUUCGUUCGAUUUGAUUCUUUUUGCCAACCGGAGUUCUUAAGUUGAACCUUCUUGUUAGAUCUCUUAUUUGCGUUUUACCCGUGCAUUAGAUGAGUACUUAUUGUAUGCUUGUUUGUUUGUCUGCGAUAGAAUACCCGGAGUGCGCCGCCUGUUACUUCGAAUCUCUAGGUUUCGCGGAUCAUCAGCAAGGCAAGUAACACUUUGAUCAUAUUUUUCCUACUACCCAGUUUUAUUGCGUUAGAUCAAUCCUCACACAUUGCAUGAUUUGGAUCUAGUUAAAUUGUGGGAUGGGAAGUAGUUGAGGUAGUACCUAUUACCUGUUUAUUAUCAAACCUUUGGGAGUUACUUCUACGUUUGCUUAUUAUGCCAUGCUAUGCUAGUAGACGUGGAUUGGGUGAGUGAUAUCCAUGACAGAUGUGAGUUUGGUUAAUUAAUGGUUUAUCUAAGGUGGCAACUUAAACACACAUCUGGGUGGAUUGAGGCACCUGGGUAUUCCAGGACUUGCCUGUUUUCUGUUGGACCGCCACCCAAGCUCAAAGGGAUCAUGAGACUAUUCAUACUAGAAACUUCCGUGUGCAGGCUCUAGCAUAGUUGACUAAGUCGUGCGAACUCUUACAGUGGUAGACUAGCAGAUGUAGGGGAUGUAGGUGGUACGGUCUACCCGAUCGUAAGGUGCUAGCGCUUCUGAAAGACUAUGUCUCGGUCAUCCGUCUUCUCAAACACCCUGUAGUGCGAGAAACCCAACGGAGGCGAUCGAGUCUUGUGGGGAAAAGUGCGCAAACCUCUGCAGAGUGUAAUAAACUAAUCAUGAUUAGCCGUGUCCCCGGUUAUGGACAUCUUGAGUAUCUAGUACCUGGAUUUUUCAUGUGAAUCUCAACAUGUUACUCUAAAUUAAUUUUGUUGGGUUUUGUUUAAUGAUGAUGGUUAAUUGGGACUGAGAAUGCUGUCAACCAUUCUCAAUGUUUAACAACUACCAUGAUAGUUAAAUAAAUUUAUUCUUUGAAGUAGGGAAAAAUUGGCUUUACGCAAAACUGUAACCAUAGAGCUUUCCACCAGCCAAAUAUGCAUAUAGUAUAGCUGUUUCAUUCCAUUAUUCUCUAUGUGUUACAUUGCCAGCAUAUUCCAUGUGCUGACCCAUUUCGGGCUGCAACAUUAAUGUUGCAGACUUUUCAGACGAUGAUUAAGGAGUUUUAGGUCGUGGUUCUAUACUCAGUGAUGCCGUUGGAGUUGAUGGACUCACUUAUCUUCCAAGCCUUCCGUUGUUAUCGUUAUUAGAUGGCCUUAAGCCAUAUUUAUUGUAAUAAGUUCUCUUAUGAGACACUCGAUGUAAUAAGUGUGUGAUUGCUACUCUGCUAUAAAUCCUCCGAGUAUUGUGUGGUGUCAGCAUUACUAAUCCAGGGAUGACACCGGAGCACAGAGAUCAGACUGUUUGAGGUCUGGUCGC
rnacentral:lncRNA from 1 species